rnacentral:rRNA from 1 species
AUUGAACGCUGGCGGCAGGCCUAACACAUGCAAGUCGAGCGAGCGGCGGACGGGUGAGUAAUGUAUGGGGACUGCCCGAUAGAGGGGGAUAACAACUGGAAACGGUGGCUAAUACCCCAUACUGUCGGAUAACCCAUAUGGGUUUAGCUAGUGGGUAAGGAAAGGGCUUACCUAGGCGACGAUCCCUAGCUGGUCUGAGAGGAUGAUCAGCCACACGGGGACUGAGAUACGGCCCAGACUCCUACGGAGGCAGCAGUGGGGAAUAUUGCACAAUGGGCGCAAGCCUGAUGCAGCCAUGCCGCGUGUCUGAAGAAGGCCUUCGGGUUGUAAAGUACUUUCAGUCGGGAGGCGUUACCGGCAGAAGAAGCACCGGCUAACUCCGUGCCAGCAGCCGCGGUAAUAC